UACGAAGGGGGCUAGCGUUGUUCGGAUUUACUGGGCGUAAAGCGCACGUAGGCGGAUCGUUAAGUCGGGGGUGAAAUCCUGGAGCUCAACUCCAGAACUGCCUUCGAUACUGGCGAUCUCGAGUCCGGAAGAGGUGAGUGGAACUCCUAGUGUAGAGGUGGAAUUCGUAGAUAUUAGGAAGAACACCAGUGGCGAAGGCGGCCAACUGGACGAAGACUGACGCUGAGACACGAAAGCGUGGGGAGCAAACAGG
rnacentral:rRNA from 1 species